GUUCUCCCUUUUGCAGCAUAUAUUCUAAAACUGAAGCAGCUCAGAGAAGCUCAGCACAUCCCUGUGUAAGGAUGGCAUAUAAAUUCAUGGUGCAUUCCAUUUUUUA
ensembl:snRNA U6 U6 spliceosomal RNA